UCCCUUGUAGCUCAGUUGGUAAAGAAUCUACCUGCAAGGCAGGAGACCUAGGUUCGAUUCCUGGGUCGGGAA
rfam:Ovis aries breed Texel chromosome 1, whole genome shotgun sequence.